rnacentral:tmRNA from 1 species
GGGGGCGUACUGGUUUCGACUUAGGGUUUGAGAUCCAGGCGGCAUGCCGAGGAAGACUCGUUGGCCUCGUAAAAAAUCGAGUCAAAAAAAUAACUGCUGAGACUAACGAUCUCGCUCUCGCGGCCUAAUUAAACCGUGACGUGUCCGGCCGGAUGUCUGCUAAGGCUGGACGCGACGACAGCAGACUGGUCUGAAGGUGGUGUGACCGCGCCGGAGGACGAGAGUUAUUUCGUGGACACAAGAGUGAGCGACGCGCGCCGAUCCGCUCAACUCACUCUCUCUCAAGAUCGGCUACGCAUGUAGAAGUCCGGAACGAUGGCCUCAAGGACAGGGGUUCGACUCCCCUCGCCUCCAACC